AUUCUACUGUACUUUUCUUCAAGAUCUGCCCUCUUCAAUAAUUUUCUCCAAGCUGUCUCUGCUUAUCACUUUUUUUCACUGUACCACUCUAUUCAGUCCCUGUACUAGCUCUGUUUUAAACAGUUCCAGAUAUUCCUCUUCAGUUGAGUGAGGGUAUGCUGCAGGAGUGCCUCUGAGCAGUCCCAGCACUGCCCCAUGUCAGCUCAGAGCCAGCUCCAGCUGCUCCCACAGGGACCUGCUGCUGCCAGAGCUGAGCCAUGAGCAACACUGGGUGUACUCUGGGAGCUCAGAUUAAAAGGAGGGAAAAACUGCUGCACAACAGCAGAUGGAAGAGAGGAACGAGAAAUGUGAGAGAAGCAGCUCUGCAGGCACUGAGAUCAGUGCAGAAGGAGGGCAGGAGGUGCUCCAGGUAUGAAAAACAAGUUCCCCGCAGCCCAGGAGAGGCCUGUGGUGGAGCAGGCCGUUCCCCUGCAGCACAUGGGCAACGUGCAAAGCAGAGCUCUAUGUGCAGUCUGUGUCAUUCUCCUCUCAGGGUUCAUACUUUGGGUCAACUUUUAUUCUGCAAAAUGCCACUUUUGAAGCUUUUUGAUAUUGAAUCUUCAAUCAUGCUUCAGCUGACUGAAAGCAGAUCCAAGCCAGGAGGCAACCUGAGUUUCAGUCUCUCAGGUAUUUCGACAGCAGUAUACACUUGUUCCAGCUCUUUCAAGGAGAUCUACAAUUGAUGAAAAAGAGUCAGACCACAGGGGACAACAUGCCUUCAUUUCACCUAACUUAGAGGAGCAAAGUGAGAGCAUUAAGCUUUGGGACAGAAGAGUGCUGAUGAGGAACAACCACAGUGUCAAUAUGUCCAUAACUAGAGUCAGGAUCAGCCCUAAUAAAGAGAGUCAAGGAUCAACA
rnacentral:lncRNA from 1 species